AGUGAACGCUGGCGGUAGGCCUAACACAUGCAAGUCGAACGGCAGCACAGUAAGAGCUUGCUCUUACGGGUGGCGAGUGGCGGACGGGUGAGGAAUACAUCGGAAUCUACUUUUUCGUGGGGGUUAACGUAGGGAAACUUACGCUAAUAUCGCAUCCGACCUACGUGUGAAAGCAGGGGAUCUUCGUACCUUGCGCGAUUGAAUGAGCCGAUGUCGGAUUCGUUAGUUGGCGGGGGAAAGGCCCACCCAGUCGAGGAUCCGUAGCUGGUCUGAGAGGAUGAUCAGCCGCAUGAGAACUGGGACGCGGUACAGGCUCCGACGGAAGGCAGCAGUGGGGAAGAUUGGACAAUGGACGGAAACCUGAUCCAGCGAGACCGCGUGAGUGAAGAAGGCUUUCGGGUUGGAAAGCCCUUUUGUUGGGUAAAAAAAGCAGCAGGUUAAUACCAUGCUGUUGUGACGUUACCCGAAGAAUAAGCACCGGCUAACUUCGUG
rnacentral:rRNA from 1 species